rnacentral:rRNA from 1 species
UGGGGAAUCUUGCACAAUGGGGGCAACCCUGAUGCAGCGACGCCGCGUGAGCGAUGAAGGUUUUCGAAUCGUAAAGCUCUGUCCUAUGGGAAGAUAAUGACGGUACCAUAGGAGGAAGCCCCGGCUAACUACGUGCCAGCAGCCGCGGUAAUACGUAGGGGGCGAGCGUUGUCCGGAAUUAUUGGGCGUAAAGCGUUCGUAGGCUGUUUGUUAAGUCUGGAGUUAAAUCCCGGGGCUCAACCCCGGCUCGCUUUGGAUACUAGCAAACUAGAGUUAGAUAGAGGUAAGCGGAAUUCCAUGUGAAGCGGUGAAAUGCGUAGAUAUAUGGAAGAACACCAAAGGCGAAGGCAGCUUACUGGGUCUAUACUGACGCUGAGGGACGAAAGCGUGGGGAGCAAACAGG